rnacentral:rRNA from 1 species
UACUCCUACGGGAGGCAGCAGUGGGGAAUUUUGGACAAUGGGCGAAAGCCUGAUCCAGCAAUGCCGCGUGUGUGAAGAAGGCCUUCGGGUUGUAAAGCACUUUUGUCCGGAAAGAAAUCCUUGGCUCUAAUACAGUCGGGGGAUGACGGUACCGGAAGAAUAAGCACCGGCUAACUACGUGCCAGCAGCCGCGGUAAUACGUAGGGUGCAAGCGUUAAUCGGAAUUACUGGGCGUAAAGCGUGCGCAGGCGGUUUGCUAAGACCGAUGUGAAAUCCCCGGGCCCAACCUGGGAACUGCAUUGGUGACUGGCAGGCUAGAGUAUGGCAGAGGGGGGUAGAAUUCCACGUGUAGCAGUGAAAUGCGUAGAGAUGUGGAGGAAUACCGAUGGCGAAGGCAGCCCCCUGGGCCAAUACUGACGCUCAUGCACGAAAGCGUGGGGAGCAAACAGGAUUAGAUACCCUGGUAGUCCACGCCCUAAACGAUGUCAACUAGUUGUUGGGGAUUCAUUUCCUUAGUAACGUAGCUAACGCGUGAAGUUGACCGCCUGGGGAGUACGGUCGCAAGAUUAAAACUCAAAGGAAUUGACGGA